rnacentral:rRNA from 1 species
UACGUAGGUGGCAAGCGUUAUCCGGAAUACUGGCGUAAGCGCAACGCAGGCGGUCUUUUAAGUUUGACGUGAAAGCUCCCGGCUUAACUGGGAGAGGUCGUUGAAGACUGGAAGACUUGAGGCAAUGAGAGGGGUGUAGAAUUCCCGGUGUAGUGGUGGAAUGCGUAGAUAUCGGGGGGAAUACCAGUGGCGAAAGCGGCACCCUAGCGUUAGCCUGACGCUCAUGUGCGAAAGCGUGGGGAGCGAACGGG